AGCAGCCACCCUCUCUCCUUUCUCUCUUCCUUCUCCGUCCCGACGCCUCCUCUCCCUCUCUUCUGCUCUUCCCCCAAGCCCCUCCCGGCCUCCCCUCCCCGAGCCCCUACCCGAGCGCCUCCCCCUCCCUCGAACUCCUGCCUCUCUUUUCCUCCCACGCGCGUUCCCCUCCCUCGAGCUCCUGCAGCAGCGGCCGCGGAGGACAAUGGCGGCAGUGCUUGGAGGCCGUUCACCGGCGCCCCCGACCUUGCCCGCGGUCGGAUCUGGCGCCCCCGACCCGGCCCCGACCUCCCUCGGCCGGCCGUGCCCGACCCCUGCCUCCUCCGGUCGACCUGGCCCCGACCCCGGCCACCAGUCGUCGCCGGAUCCGCCGCCCCGACCCCCCUGCUGCCGCCGGAUCCCGGCCUCCCUCUUCUCUCUUUCUCUCCCUCUCUGAUUUUCUCUCUUUUGCAGUGUAGGUCGUCGUGGAGGAACAAUUGUUCUACAGCCAUGGAGCGCCACCGUGGAGAGGAGCCCGUCCCUGCCUCCUCCGGGGAUCCGCCGUCGGGAGACGAGGAAGCCGCCGCCCCUGAGCCCGCCUGCCCCCGGAAUCGUUUCCAUCUUCCUCGAUUUGUUCGUGGCUGGCUCGGCUAGCAAUUUUGGCAAGCAAGUUGAUUGGCGAGUAGAUUUGUAUACGAACUUUAUUGUAUAUAGGAUCUGUACAAAUAUCUACUGCUGGAUAUUUAGUGAUUUGUUGUAUAUACAGAUUUGCUGUGAUAUUUGAUUUGUGAUUUGAUGAAUUAAUCAACACGCGGGCCUGUGGCCUGCCCUUUUUUAUAAUCUCGAAAACACACAUCACUGUCGGUCAGGGUUGCGCCCGCCAAUGAUGUCAUCACUGACGGUUCGCCUGGGCGUCCCGUUAGCGAUUAUUUUUCGACCGUUUCUGUAGGAGUGUUUGGACGGUGCAGAUUCGAUUUUUCUGUCAAGUUUGUGCCUUUAUAUGUAAUAGAACUGCAAAUAGAACG